UGCCGAAUUCGGAAUAAAUCCCAAGUCUCCUCUUAAGGCUUACGAAGCGCCCCGCGCGCCUCGCUCAUCGACGUGUGGCCACGUGGGUCUCUGAGGCCUCGGGGCCUGCCACGCCCCUUCCAGCCUCAGGGUCUUUGCACCUGCCGAUCCCUUCGUGUCUCCGUGCGUGCGUAACCUGGUUUGAGUCCCAGCGCCACUCCGCUUCCGUUAGUUGUGGCCGCAUCCGGUGGGAGAAGUUUGCCAACCGCUUGUCCGCGUGGCUGCCCUGUACGUAUCUGUACGACCGACCCUGGGGGGUGGCAAAUGUUUAACAACAGCUUCUCUGGGGCAGAAUGCGUAUGUCAGUAUGGGGUGUGUUGCAUACGUAUUUAUAUGUGUGCCUGCGUGUGUAGAGG